GACGAACGCUGGCGGCGUGCCUAAUACAUGCAAGUCGAACGCAUUUUCUUUCACCGUAGCUUGCUACACCGAAAGAAAAUGAGUGGCGAACGGGUGAGUAACACGUGGGUAACCUGCCCAUCAGCGGGGGAUAACACUUGGAAACAGGUGCUAAUACCGCAUAAUUCCAUUUACCGCAUGGUAAAUGGAUGAAAGGCGCUUUUGCGUCACUGAUGGAUGGACCCGCGGUGCAUUAGCUAGUUGGUGGGGUAACGGCCUACCAAGGCUGCGAUGCAUAGCCGACCUGAGAGGGUGAUCGGCCACACUGGGACUGAGACACGGCCCAGACUCCUACGGGAGGCAGCAGUAGGGAAUCUUCGGCAAUGGACGCAAGUCUGACCGAGCAACGCCGCGUGAUUGAAGAAGGUUUUCGGAUCGUAAAACUCUGUUGUUAGAGAAGAACAAGGAUGAGAGUGGAAAGUUCAUCCCUUGACGGUAGCUAACCAGAAAGCCACGGCUAACUACGUG
rnacentral:rRNA from 1 species